GCGGCGGGGGGACCGACCCUCCGGGGCCGGCCCGGCGGUGCCGGGCGCUCCGCGCUGCUCGGCUGCGCUGCCCGUGGAGGGGAGGGCGGCGGGGACGCUGCCGUGCUUUGCACGCCCCUUGCCCGCGGCGAUGGCCCCGCGGGCGGGCCGGGGGAAGGCUGCGCAGCGGUGCGCCCCGCCGCCCCAUCGCCUCACGCUUCUAAAAUGGCUGACAGGGAGCGAGCUUCUCGGCUCCGCUUCUCCCGACUCCGGGGAUCUCUCUGGUGGUUUCGUUUAUCUGUUUGCUCGGUCGGGGGGUUUUGUUGGGGUUUUGUUUAUGGGGGGGGAGGUUUGUUAGCCGCUACAGCGCGUGGACCGCGGGCACCUCGGCUUUGAGGGCCGGCUGCGCGCCCGCUCCCGCAGCUGUGUUGGGCCGGCGGUGGGAGCCGGUUUGUGUGGAAGAGGGCGGGUCGUGCCUGCUGUUCCCCCCUCUGCCAUCCCUCCCGGCCGCCCGGCGGGGUCCGGCCGGCUGCUGGCGAGCUCCCGGACCCCGGAUGCUCCAGGGCAAGGGAGCGCUUGGAGGGUGAAGCUGGGGGUUCGGCCGCAUUUGUGCCGCAGCGUGUUCGCAGAGCUUGGUGGUUGUGUGGUACGGAGAACUUCGCCUCGGAACUUGGCUUAAAUAAAGAAACAAAGAGCUGCUUUCCCCCCCGCCCCAAAACAGCACCCAAACUCCAGGCGCUGUUGUCGCCUCCCCUCUGCAAACGGCAACGAAGAAAAAAAAACCAGCGGCUUUUAAAGUUUUUGAAAUGCAAAGCUGCCUAGAAUAUAAAGGUUUUUGGUUGCAAUUUCUGUGUUCCCGUGAUCAAAACCAGUUUUUAAUUCGGAGUAGUGUAAUUUGCUCUAAGCUCUUUCAAAAGGGAAUGAAAACUUGAAAAAUUGCCAGCUGCACAUAAACAGUGUCUUGCUGUUUUCAUUUGUUUUCACAGUCUCUUGUGCAUCGGGCCUCCGAAUUACCGGAUCUGCGCUUCAAAAGUGAUGAUGUGAUAAACCAAAGGAAUGAGAUAAUUAAUAAGAUUGAGCUCUGCAAUGAAGUCAGAGAUGGUUUUGUGGCAGACAUCAUGUGACCUAGGUAGGGUUUGGGCCACAACAGACAUACAGAAAAGCACCAGGUCCUUCCAGAGUGAUCCAUGUGUCAUCUACAAGCAAGGGUCCCCUGUGCAACAGCUGUACAAAAUUCAUCAUGACAAAAUACCAAAAUCUUAUUUUCCCAACAGUUAUUAUAGAGAUCCUGGAAAAAAAUAAAUUGGUAUCUUGUUUGUCCUUUCCAUGUA